UGGGGAAUUUUGGACAAUGGGCGCAAGCCUGAUCCAGCCAUGCCGCGUGCAGGAUGAAGGCCUUCGGGUUGUAAACUGCUUUUGUACGGAACGAAAAGACUCCUUCUAAUAAAGGGGGUCCAUGACGGUACCGUAAGAAUAAGCACCGGCUAACUACGUGCCAGCAGCCGCGGUAAUACGUAGGGUGCAAGCGUUAAUCGGAAUUACUGGGCGUAAAGCGUGCGCAGGCGGUUAUAUAAGACAGAUGUGAAAUCCCCUGGCUCAACCUGGGAACUGCAUUUGUGACUGUAGAGCUAGAGUACGGCAGAGGGGGAUGGAAUUCCGCGUGUAGCAGUGAAAUGCGUAGAUAUGCGGAGGAACACCGAUGGCGAAGGCAAUCCCCUGGGCCUGUACUGACGCUCAUGCACGAAAGCGUGGGGAGCAAACA
rnacentral:rRNA from 1 species